rnacentral:rRNA from 1 species
AGAACGCUGAAGGAGGAGCUUGCUUCUCUGGAUGAGUUGCGAACGGGUGAGUAACGCGUAGGUAACCUGCCUGGUAGCGGGGGAUAACUAUUGGAAACGAUAGCUAAUACCGCAUGACAACAGUUAUUGCAUGAUAGCUGUUUAAAAGGGGCAACUGCUCCACUACCAGAUGGACCUGCGUUGUAUUAGCUAGUUGGUGAGGUAACGGCUCACCAAGGCGACGAUACAUAGCCGACCUGAGAGGGUGAUCGGCCACACUGGGACUGAGACACGGCCCAGACUCCUACGGGAGGCAGCAGUAGGGAAUCUUCGGCAAUGGACGGAAGUCUGACCGAGCAACGCCGCGUGAGUGAAGAAGGUUUUCGGAUCGUAAAGCUCUGUUGUAAGAGAAGAACGAGUGUGAGAGUGGAAAGUUCACACUGUGACGGUAUCUUACCAGAAAGGGACGGCUAACUACGUGCCAGCAGCCGCGGUAAUACGUAGGUCCCGAGCGUUGUCCGGAUUUAUUGGGCGUAAAGCGAGCGCAGGCGGUUAGAUAAGUCUGAAGUUAAAGGCUGUGGCUUAACCAUAGUACGCUUUGGAAACUGUUUAACUUGAGUGCAAGAGGGGAGAGUGGAAUUCCAUGUGUAGCGGUGAAAUGCGUAGAUAUAUGGAGGAACACCGGUGGCGAAAGCGGCUCUCUGGCUUGUAACUGACGCUGAGGCUCGAAAGCGU